AUUGUUACAAAAGGCGGCUCAAAUGGGAUCAAAGAGAUCAUCAUCAAGCUUAAACAAUAGCAAGGCUUUUGGUCUAAUGAGGAACACCUCCAUCUUCAACAACAAGCAAACGGAGAAUAUGAAAACUACGGAAGUUGAUGAAGGAGGCUUCACGAGAGACUUUCUUGGUGUGGGAAGUCAACACCGUACUUGGCCAUUAUUAAUGGUAAACCGUAAUCUUCUCGACUCGUCCCCUCCGGCCACUACCGACGGUACACCAACCUCCGACAGGAACCAGUAGUUUGGUAAACCCAAGUGACGAGAGGACAGUUUAAGCACGGCGAAUUAACACCGUGAAAGAUGAGUUUUUGACUCGGAGAGAAUCUCUGAGUCAAUUCGGUGCUGCGUAGUGGGUCCACUAGGUUGACGGAGAUGGGAAGCUAUUCGGGUCCACUUCUGCAUGCAUGCACAGCAGAGCAAAGCAUACGCUAUGUCUUUUCUUAUUCUUCAUUUUGUUUUUUCCUUGUAAUUAUUUUCAUGCUUUAAGUUGGAAAGAACCUAAAAGAAACAAGGAAAAUGUUUGUACGUAGGUUAUGUAAACUUUAAGUAGUUGUUACUUUUUGUUUUUUUCCUUGUAAAAGGUGAACCUUUUUAAUUCUUGUUAUUGAAAAACUUCAAUUUCUAGAA